rnacentral:rRNA from 1 species
ACUGCUGUGCGGCAUGCCUUACACAUGCAAGUCGAACGGUUGCAGGUCUUCGGAGGCUGACGAGUGGCGAACGGGUGAGUAAUACAUCGGAACGUGCCCCGUCGUGGGGGAUAACUACUCGAAAGAGUAGCUAAUACCGCAUACGAUCUGAGGAUGAAAGCGGGGGACCUUCGGGCCUCGCGCGAUUGGAGCGGGCGAUGGCAGAUUAGGUAGUUGGUGGGAUAAAAGCUUACCAAGCCGACGAUCUGUAGCUGGUCUGAGAGGACGACCAGCCACACUGGGACUGAGACACGGCCCAGACUCCUACGGGAGGCAGCAGUGGGGAAUUUUGGACAAUGGGCGAAAGCCUGAUCCAGCAAUGCCGCGUGCAGGAUGAAGGCCUUCGGGUUGUAAACUGCUUUUGUACGGAACGAAAAAGCUCCUUCUAAUACAGGGGGCCCAUGACGGUACCGUAAGAAUAAGCACCGGCUAACUACGUGCCACCAGCCGCGGUAAUACGUAGGGUGCGAGCGUUAAUCGGAAUUACUGGGCGUAAAGCGUGCGCAGGCGGUUAUGUAAGACAGAUGUGAAAUCCCCGGGCUCAACCUGGGAACUGCAUUUGUGACUGCAUGGCUAGAGUACGGUAGAGGGGGAUGGAAUUCCGCGUGUAGCAGUGAAAUGCGUAUAUAUGCGGAGGAACACCGAUGGCGAAGGCAAUCCCCUGGACCUGUACUGACUCUCAUGCACGAAUGCGUGGGGAGCAAACAAGAUUAGAUACCCUGGUAGUCCACGCCCUAACGAUGUCAACUGGUUGUUGGCAAUUAGUUUUCUCAUAAGGAAACACAACGCGUU